rnacentral:rRNA from 1 species
UGGCGGACGGGUGAGUAACGCGUGGAAAACCUGCCGUAUACUGGGGGAUAACACUUAGAAAUAGGUGCUAAUACCGCAUAAGCGCACAGCUUCGCAUGAAGCGGUGUGAAAAACUCUGGUGGUAUACGAUGGUUCCGCGUCUGAUUAGCUAGUUAGUGGGGUAAUGGCCUACCAAGGCAACGAUCAGUAGCCGGCCUGAGAGGGUGGACGGCCACAUUGGGACUGAGACACGGCCCAAACUCCUACGGAAGGCAGCAG